CAGCAGCGCCAGGCAGCGGCCGGGGGGCUGCGAUUCGUGCAAGCCAGCGGGGUCGGCGCGCAGCCAAACCCAGCUGAAGAGCUGCAGUGCGACCGAGGCGAGGCCCAGGAGCGCCAGCACCAGCGCGGCCCACAGCCCCAGCAGACCCUGGGCUCCUGACCUGCAGGCUCAGUGUGGCUCGGUCAUAUUCAAAUACCCGGAUGCCGGGAUUGUUGGCCCCAUUGACCACUCCAGGUAAGGUGGUUUUCCACGGGGUGACUCCAGGGGUAAGGAACAGGACACUGAUGGGGUCACCUUUCAGGAGAGAGACCGCGGGACUGAGAGAGAGGCCAGCAAGAGGAGGAGGCGGGUAUGGGUUGGCCGCUGUCCUCUACAGUAAGUACCUGCGUCAUCGUAGAACAUCCGGAAGCUGUCGGUGUGGUGAUGGCCGAAGAACUGCCCUGCGAUGACUUGAUGGUGCUUCCGGAUCACCUUCAGACAGAGGUCACAAGCAGGCAGAGAGGCAGACAGAGGAGGUGCAGGAAGAAGGCUCCCCGCUGAGCAGAGAGCCCAAUGGCUGUCGUGAGGCUGGAAAAAGAAGCCCCUUCCUGGUGCCAGGCUGAUGAAGGAUCUUCAGGGAUAGAGGCCCCUCAAGGGAGUAGCUGAGCUUGUGCAGAGGUGGGACACUGGCUCAGGAGGUGACCCCAGAGAGGGUAGCAGGUGGACAUGGGAGCCCUUACCAUCUCCUUAGCUCGGGAUGCACGGGUCAGCACGUCUUCCAGCCACUGGAACUGCUGUGCUGGGUCUGCCAUGCCAGCCGUCUGCUCGUUGUUGCUGUAGUACAGGUUGGUGUUGAGGACCACAAUUCGCCCGGCCCCACUCGGGCCUGGCAACUUCUCAGAAUAGAAGGCACCUACAGCAUCACAGCCAGGGAGAAUCUGAAGGGUCCCCUGCCUCUGAUGAGACACGUCUCCAUGCCCCCCCAACUUCGCUCCCAGCGUCUCCUGCCCCGGCGUCCUCCCUUCCCGUCUUGCCCGUAGGAGGACCACGGUGAGAAGACCAGAGGCUCUGGGGGCCCGCUGCCCCGGCUCCAGUCCUGGCUCCCGCACCUAGCUGUGCAGCUUGGGAACAUUUUUACUUCACCUCUCUGUGCUUGGGUUUCUCCCUUUCUAUAAUGUGAAGAACAGUAAGAUGUGUUUGUCCCUCCAGAUCCACUGUCAACCCUGUUCGCUCAACUCUCUGUCCUAGAAACUGAUCUCCGGGGGUGCCAGGGUGGCUCAGUCAUUAAGCAUCUGCUUCAGGCUUGGGUCAUGAUCUCAGGGUCCUGGGAUUGAGCCCCGCAUUGGGCUCCUUCCUCCAUGGGAAACCUGUUCUCCCUCUCCCAUUCCCCAUUCUGCGUUCCCUCUCUCGCUAUGUCUCUGUUAAAGAAAUAAAUAAAAUCUUAAAAAAAAAAAAUAGAAAGAAAGAAACUGAUCUCCAUGGACUACAUCAACCAGUUUCUGUUUGGGUUUGACCCGCUGUGACUGAGGACAGGCAAGAGAGCAGCCAGGGUCCCCUUGGACUGGUGUGUCUCUGGAUCAGUGGCUCUCAGCCGCUGAUUUUGUUCCCCGGGGGGACAUUUGGCAGCGUCUGGAGACAUUUGGGGUUACGGCGAUGGUGUCCCUCGUAUCCCGCAUCCUUGACGGCCCCCACGAUGAAUUAUCCAACCCAAGAUGUCAGUAGCACAAAGGGUGGGAAAUGCUGCCUGAAGCAGAGGUUGCUUCCCCUUCCUUGUUUCCAUGAGGAGUCUUGGAAUGUGCCGAGAGUGGUGCCUGGCACCCAGUAAAUGCUCAGGAAAUUGUCCGUUAUGAUCCUCCCUAGAGCCACUGAGCACAUGGAGUCAGCCCCAAAGUCUGCUCCCAAGCUGGCCACCUCUAGGUUGGCUGAUCUUCACCAAGGGACUCGACAUCUUCAAGCCUCUAUCUCCUUAUCUGUGUAAUGGGGAUAAAAUUGGUACCCGUUUUCUGGGGUCUUGGUAAGGACAAAAUUCUAUGAGACCUGGGCAGACAAGGAAGUGCUUAUAGUUGCCAAAAGUACCUUCUUUGAAGAGAGUGAUGGAUUCGUUACUGAGCCAGGGUCUCCACAGCUCUGCGACCUGAUUGUAGAUGUUGUUACUCCCUGCUGGGAACUGAUUUUUGGGGUGAAAGUCAUGAUUUCCCAGAGCAGCGUAGACUUUGGUAUCUGGGAGGAAAAAGAGACAUGUAAACAUGUUUAUGGGAAAGCGCUCGGCAGAGCUGGUACAUUUCAGUCCACCACCGACCGUGGGAGCCCAUGGGAAGAGCCGUAGCACAGAUGAGGGAAAUAUAGAGAUAAGCAGAAAACAGCAUUCAGUAGAAUCUGGCCGAACAUGGCUCAGACCUGGGAAGGAAGAGCAGUGAGUUCCCUGAUUCCAGUUCCUAACUCCAUUCCCAGCAAAGGGUUUCCCAGUCAGAAGAAAGCAUGAGAAGAUAAGAAGACAGAAGCUAGAAGAUCGAAAUAAUCUUCCCAUCCCUUAAAAGCCCUGUGGUACCAUGAUUGUCCCCGCUCUGCGCAAACGCGAAACGGAGUCUCCAGGGCACCGCCCAGCCGUCCUGGAGAAGAUGGGCCGGCGUUCACAGUGACUGCCGGGGGAACGCAGCUGGCACGUGGCAGGAAGAACACGUGACACGUGACGUGCACCCAGAAAUCUCGAGCUUCCGUCCCUUCCUCCUUGCCAGGUGAAGUUGUACAACCUGGGUUCAUGUCCCGACUCGGACACUUACUACAUGUAUAACUUCGGCAGGGCGUGAGCUGGGCUGGCCCAAGGAGGGGCAUCAACCAGGCCUUUGAACUCUGAGGUGGAAAGCAGCACUUGUCCUGCCUGUUCCGCAAAGCACGUCUGUCCAGCCAGCAGCUGGAUUCUCCAGGAACCUCGCCCAGCCCCUGUGACUGAGU